GACGAACGCUGGCGGCGUGCUUAACACAUGCAAGUCGAACGAAGUGGCGCACGGGUGAGUAACGCGUAAUCAACCUGCCCUUCCGAGGGGGACAACAGUUGGAAACGACUGCUAAUACCGCAUACUGAAGUAGGUGAUUGCGUCUGAUUAGCUAGUGGGAGGGGGAACGGCCCACCAAGGCGAUGCUCAGUAGCCGGUCUGAGAGGGUGAACGGCCACAUUGGGACUGAGACACGGCCCAGACUCCUACGGGAGGCAGCAGUGGGGAAUCUUCCGCAAUGGACGGAAGUCUGACGGAGCAACGCCGCGUGAGUGAAGACGGCCUUCGGGUUGUAAAGCUCUGUUAAUCGGGACGCGGUACCGAAAUAGAAAGCCACGGCUAACUACGUGCCAGCAGCCGCGGUAAUUC
rnacentral:rRNA from 1 species